rnacentral:rRNA from 1 species
GACGAACGCUGGCGGCGUGCCUAAUACAUGCAAGUCGUACGCUUCUUUUUCCACCGGAGCUUGCUCCACCGGAAAAAGAAGAGUGGCGAACGGGUGAGUAACACGUGGGUAACCUGCCCAUCAGAAGGGGAUAACACUUGGAAACAGGUGCUAAUACCGUAUAACAAUCGAAACCGCUUGGUUUUGAUUUGAAAGGCGCUUUCGGGUGUCGCUGAUGGAUGGACCCGCGGUGCAUUAGCUAGUUGGUGAGGUAACGGCUCACCAAGGCCACGAUGCAUAGCCGACCUGAGAGGGUGAUCGGCCACAUUGGGACUGAGACACGGCCCAAACUCCUACGGGAGGCAGCAGUAGGGAAUCUUCGGCAAUGGACGAAAGUCUGACCGAGCAACGCCGCGUGAGUGAAGAAGGUUUUCGGAUCGUAAAACUCUGUUGUUAGAGAAGAACAAGGAUGAGAGUAACUGUUCAUCCCUUGACGGUAUCUAACCAGAAAGCCACGGCUAACUACGUGCCAGCAGCCGCGGUAAUACGUAGGUGGCAAGCGUUGUCCGGAUUUAUUGGGCGUAAAGCGAGCGCAGGCGGUUUCUUAAGUCUGAUGUGAAAGCCCCCGGCUCAACCGGGGAGGGUCAUUGGAAACUGGGAGACUUGAGUGCAGAAGAGGAGAGUGGAAUUCCAGGUGUAGCGGUGAAAUGCGUAGAUUAUAUGGAGGAACACCAGUGGCGAAGGCGGCUCUCUGGUCUGUAACUGACGCUGAGGCUCGAAAGCGUGGGGAGCAAACAGGAUUAGAUACCCUGGUAGUCCACGCCGUAAACGAUGAGUGCUAAGUGUUGGAGGGUUUCCGCCCUUCAGUGCUGCAGCUAACGCAUUAAGCACUCCGCCUGGGGAGUACGACCGCAAGGUUGAAACUCAAAGGAAUUGACGGGGGCCCGCACAAGCGGUGGAGCAUGUGGUUUAAUUCGAAGCAACGCGAAGAACCUUACCAGGUCUUGACAUCCUUUGACCACUCUAGAGAUAGAGCUUCCCCUUCGGGGGCAAAGUGACAGGUGGUGCAUGGUUGUCGUCAGCUCGUGUCGUGAGAUGUUGGGUUAAGUCCCGCAACGAGCGCAACCCUUAUUGUUAGUUGCCAUCAUUCAGUUGGGCACUCUAGCAAGACUGCCGGUGACAAACCGGAGGAAGGUGGGGAUGACGUCAAAUCAUCAUGCCCCUUAUGACCUGGGCUACACACGUGCUACAAUGGGAAGUACAACGAGUCGCGAAGUCGCGAGGCUAAGCUAAUCUCUUAAAGCUUCUCUCAGUUCGGAUUGUAGGCUGCAACUCGCCUACAUGAAGCCGGAAUCGCUAGUAAUCGCGGAUCAGCACGCCGCGGUGAAUACGUUCCCGGGCCUUGUACACACCGCCCGUCACACCACGAGAGUUUGUAACACCCGAAGUCGGUGAGGUAACCUUUUGGAGCCAGCCGCCUAAGGUGGGAUAGAUGAUUGGGGUGAAG